rnacentral:lncRNA from 1 species
CCAGUACCGCCGCCUCGCCAGGUCACGUGACGGUCACCCGGUACGCUACGCGUCGCGUCGAGUGACGUCACGCCUGCGUGCGCCCGCUGCCCGGACUUGCCCUCACUCAGACUGCGCACGCGCAGAGCGGGCAGCCGCGUUCGUCCAAUCGUCCCUCCUCCCAAGCUUUAAGUGACAGCCAGGGUAGCCAAUUGGCUCUGCGGGGACGAAGGGGAGGACGGCGCUCUCCCGGAAGAAGGAUCGGGGAGGGAGCUUGCAUGUAACAGGCAGCAGUAGAAGCCAAUGAGAUGGCCGAACAGGGCAGGGCUGGCCAAUAGGAGAGGCGGGGGGCGGGGCGUGCAGGGGGCCGCGCAGGGCCGGAGCCUGUGCCUGCGCCUGCGCCUGCGCCGGGUUUGUCCGGUACGGCUGUGCCGCUCGGUGUGCACCGCUCCUCGGGACAGCGUGUGCCGGGGCCCUCCUCGGGAAAUAUUUCUUCCUUCUAUGGAAACCAACGAGCACCCGGGCCUGCACUCUUGAUAUAAAUACCCGGUGAUGACCGACUUAUUGCGGGCGACCGGGCGACGAAUCCACCGUUGGGACAGCACUGCCGGUGUCAGGCCGUGUAAGGAGUCGCUGUCCUUCUGUUUGUGAGCUCCCUCCAGGCACGUGAAGGCCGCAGUGAGGUCUCCCCAGAGCCUUCUCCAGGCCGCACGAGCCCAACUCCCUCAGCCCUUCCUGUCGGUGAGGCGCUCCGGCCCUCCCAGCACCUUUGCGGGAUUACGGCGGCCCGAGUGCAGCACCUCGCGCGUGGCCGUGUUGCACCUCAUCUGGUUCACGCGGUGCUGCUUUUCAAGCCUGUCCCGGGCCCCCCUGGAGGGCACACACAGCGCUGCCAUCACUCACCGCUGCGCGAGAUGCAGCUUCUGGUCCCUGGAAUGCUGUGCAGCAUGACAUUAGCACAGAGCUCCUGUCAGAGCAGCGCAGAUCCCAGCCCGGCCAGGCUGCCUGUGCCUGCUCCUGGGCUCCCAGCACUGACAGUGCCCACCAGGCCCAUCUGUGUGGGUCGGGGGGGAGAGAGAGGCAGCAGGCCUUUGGGGUCGGGUCUGGGGGGCUGUGGGGGCCACAGACUAUCACUGAGAUACGAAAUGUCUCUGCAGAGCUGGAAGGUCAGGAGCUGAGGAGAAUAUGAAGGGCUCCCAUCAUGCUGCUGAGUGCCCCUCCUCUCCUGGCCGUACGCUGAGGGCAGGUGGAGGCAGGGACAAGGGUCAGGAGCAAGGGCAGAAUGAUUUUUUGCUUUCUCAGUCUUCCUAGAAAGAAAGAAAAAAAAAAAUCUAAAAUCUUUAAGAUAUGUGUGGGAUCUGUUGAGUCACGGCCUGAACCACGGAUUGAUCACCUGUGGAAAGGACCCAGUCAGCCCUGAGAGCACAGGUGAAAGCAAUUCAUGUGUGCGAAUGGAAGGAGGGGAGCCUGGCUGCAGCUCUCUUAGAUCUCAUUUAAGGGCUGACUGCUGCUGGGGAGGAUCUUUGCCUGGUGGAUUUGCCACAAGGUUUCUCACAAUGACUAACAGUAGAAGGAAAUGUGCUCUGAAGGGGUGUGCUUGCAAGUCGGCUCAAGAGAAAUGAAAAUCGUUGUAGCGGGGACCCUGCCUGGGAGCAGAGCAUUACCAAAUACGUUACUAUGCAAAGAAUCUCAUGUUGAAUAAUUUAGAAAUACCUUUUUGUUAGUGGUCAAGUAAAACAUGGCAACAGAGGGUAAUCUCAGGAAAAAGAGGGGAUAAAAACAUCUCUAUCAAGCCCAGACUUGAUGGGAAAGGAAGAGCUGAACAAGUGUGCGUGUCUGGGGGUGUUCAUCUUCUAGACUGCACCCAGAGAAGGAGAAUGAUUGUGAUGCUGCAGUCUCGGAACUCCAGUCAGUACACAAAUGGAAGGAUUUCUGGGCUGAGAUGAAUUUAUCUCCGCAGCUUCUAAUCUUUUGGAUUUUGUGUUCUAGUGCAGUGAAGCUUUUGGGCAUGAUUUAUCAUCACUAUAGCUAACACUGUAUGGGAAAAAAACUGACUUUAGAUCUUACAUCAAAGCUUUUAACAAAGCUUGUUUCCCUGGAUUUUACUUGCUUUCCAUUGUCUCCACCUCUCUGGUGCCUCUUUAAAAUAUAUGCCUAAUCUGAAAGCUGA